UACGGAGGAUCCAAGCGUUAUCCGGAUUCAUUGGGUUUAAAGGGUGCGUAGGUGGAUUUGUAAGUCAGUGGUGAAAUCCUGCAGCUUAACUGUAGAACUGCCAUUGAUACUGCAAGUCUUGAGUGUGUUUGAAGUGGGCGGAAUGUGUCAUGUAGCGGUGAAAUGCAUAGAUAUGACACAGAACACCGAUUGCGUAGGCAGCUCACUAAGCCACAACUGACACUGAGGCACGACAGCGUGGGGAUCAAACAGG
rnacentral:rRNA from 1 species